CCUACGGGUGGCAGCAGUGGGGAUUAUUGGACAAUGGGGGGAACCCUGAUCCAGCCAUGCCGCGUGUGUGAAGAAGGCCCUCGGGUUGUAAAGCACUUUCAGUGAGGAAGAACGCCUGGUGGUUAAUACCCAUCAGGAAAGACAUCACUCACAGAAGAAGCACCGGCUAACUCUGUGCCAGCAGCCGCGGUAAUACGGAGGGUGCGAGCGUUAAUCGGAAUUACUGGGCGUAAAGCGCGCGUAGGUGGCUUGAUAAGCCGGUUGUGAAAGCCCCGGGCUCAACCUGGGAACGGCAUCCGGAACUGUCAAGCUAGAGUGCAGGAGAGGAAGGUAGAAUUCCCGGUGUAGCGGUGAAAUGCGUAGAGAUCGGGAGGAAUACCAGUGGCGAAGGCGGCCUUCUGGACUGACACUGACACUGAGGUGCGAAAGCGUGGGUAGCAAACAGGAUUAGAUACCCCGGUAGUC
rnacentral:rRNA from 1 species